GACGAACGCUGGCGGCGUGCUUAACACAUGCAAGUCGAACGGAAAGGCCCUGCUUUUGUGGGGUGCUCGAGUGGCGAACGGGUGAGUAACACGUGAGUAACCUGCCCUUGACUUUGGGAUAACUUCAGGAAACUGGGGCUAAUACCGGAUAGGAGCUCCUGCUGCAUGGUGGGGGUUGGAAAGUUUCGGCGGUUGGGGAUGGACUCGCGGCUUAUCAGCUUGUUGGUGGGGUAGUGGCUUACCAAGGCUUUGACGGGUAGCCGGCCUGAGAGGGUGACCGGCCACAUUGGGACUGAGAUACGGCCCAGACUCCUACGGGAGGCAGCAGUGGGGAAUAUUGCACAAUGGGCGGAAGCCUGAUGCAGCAACGCCGCGUGCGGGAUGACGGCCUUCGGGUUGUAAACCGCUUUCGCCUGUGACGAAGCGUGACGGUAAUGGGUAAAGAAGCACCGGCUAACUACGUG
rnacentral:rRNA from 1 species